AUUAAGAAAACACUAAUAUUUACUAAAUACACUUUAAUCUGAUAUUAAGUUCUCCGUGCUUGCCACUAUAAAUUCUGCUCUUGAACCCUGUGCGGCUUGCUGCAGCAGAUGAUCAUCGGCAUCUGCUGGGUCUGCUAACUCGGAAUCAGAAAAACUGCUGCGAGCUUUUUUAAGAACCUCAUAAGGGAUCUCCCUCAUUGCCUUGCACGUUUUCACACCUCUUGCCCGAACUCUAGUGAGAUGUGCUCGCACUCGGUCCGCUCCCCCAGUGUGAAUCUCAUGACAAUACUUACAUGUCUACUGCCGCUCUGCUCGUAUCACAUGCUUUCAGCUCAAGCAUUCACGGCAUCCUCCAAUUCCUGUCAUGACCACAAGAAC
rnacentral:lncRNA from 1 species